rnacentral:rRNA from 1 species
GACGAGCUCCCCAAACGUUAUUCGGUAUCACUGGGCUUAAAGAGUUCGUAGGCGGUCUGGUAGGUGAGGUGUGAAAUCCCCCGGCUCAACCGGGGAACUGCGCUUCAAACCACCAGACUUGAGGGAGACAGAGGUGGGCGGAACAGAUGGUGGAGCGGUGAAAUGCGUUGAUAUCAUCUGGAACACCGGUGGCGAAAGCGGCCCACUGGGUCUUUUC